rnacentral:rRNA from 1 species
AUUGAACGCUGGCGGCAUGGCUUACGCAUGCAAGUCGAACGGCAGCACGGGUGCUUGCACCUGGUGGCGAGUGGCGAACGGGUGAGUAAUACAUCGGAACGUACCUUAUCGUGGGGGAUAACGCAGCGAAAGCUGUGCUAAUACCGCAUACGCCCUGAGGGGGAAAGCGGGGGAUCGAAAGACCUCGCGCGAUUAGAGCGGCCGAUGCCUGAUUAGCUUGUUGGUGGGGUAAAAGCCCACCAAGGCGACGAUCAGUAGCUGGUCUGAGAGGACGAUCAGCCACACUGGGACUGAGACACGGCCCAG